CGCAAUGGGCGAAAGCCUGACGGAGCAAUGCCGGCGGAGGAUGAAAGCCUGUGGGUCGUAAACUCCUUUUCUCAGAGAAGAAGUUCUGACGGUAUCUGAGGAAUAAGCAUCGGCUAACUCCGUGCCAGCAGCCGCGGUAAGACGGAGGAUGCAAGCGUUAUCCGGAAUGAUUGGGCGUAAAGCGUCUGUAGGUGGUUUCUUGAGUCUACUGUUAAAGAUCAGGGCUUAACCCUGGGCAGGCAGUAGAAACUAAGAAGCUUGAGUACGGUAGGGGCAGAGGGAAUUCCCGGUGUAGCGGUGAAAUGCGUAGAGAUCGGGAAGAACACCAACGGCGAAAGCACUCUGCUGGGCCGAAACUGACACUGAGAGACGAAAGCUA
rnacentral:rRNA from 1 species